rnacentral:rRNA from 3 species
UGGUGGGUAGUUUGACUGGGGCGGUCUCCUCCUAAAGAGUAACGGAGGAGCACGAAGGUUGGCUAAUCCUGGUCGGACAUCAGGAGGUUAGUGCAAUGGCAUAAGCCAGCUUGACUGCGAGCGUGACGGCGCGAGCAGGUGCGAAAGCAGGUCAUAGUGAUCCGGUGGUUCUGAAUGGAAGGGCCAUCGCUCAACGGAUAAAAGGUACUCCGGGGAUAACAGGCUGAUACCGCCCAAGAGUUCAUAUCGACGGCGGUGUUUGGCACCUCGAUGUCGGCUCAUCACAUCCUGGGGCUGAAGUAGGUCCCAAGGGUAUGGCUGUUCGCCAUUUAAAGUGGUACGCGAGCUGGGUUUAGAACGUCGUGAGACAGUU